UCUCAAGAAACACUCUCUCUCUCUAGCUCUCUAUCUCUCUCUCUCUCCAAAACCAAAACACUCUCCCUCUCUAAUCUCCAUUGAUGCAAUUUUUUCUCCAUGAGCCAAGAACACUCGUUUCCCCAUUGAAGGAGGGAGAAGCUCAAGAGCACACUUGUGUAGAUUUGAGAGUGUAUAGCACAAGGGGAAGUUUGAGGAAGCUAAGGAAAACACAUCUCCAAGCUAGAACUAUCAAAGGUAAAGGCAAAGAAAAGGUCGAUCAACCAUGAGUACGGAGAGCGUGAAGUGGCGUGUACAUGUUCAGCCUGCCUGGCUACCAUGGCCAGUGGUAUUUUUGGGAGACGUUUCUAUUAAUCUGAAUUUUGUCGUUUAGUCGACUUUAAUCAUAUUUUAUAUUUUAAAUAUUUCUAAACAGUAUUUUGGGAUCCCAAAUGUAUAACGCUUUGUAGUUUCAAUGAAUGAUUACAUUUUCAAGUUAUGUGACUUUUAUUAUAGUUUAGCUACACUUUAAACCUAAAACCUCGAUUAGCGAGUUAAUUGCACAUUUUAAACUCACUUAGUAACGACUCUAAGGAAGUAGGGCACUAUAACUUGGUAUCAGAGCGAGCCAAGGUUUAUGGUUCCUAGAGAUUGGCCGAACAUGUACGCUCGCUGUCAGUGACAAGCUCGACUUAGGGUUGGUUGGUAAUGAUUGAAUUAUAUGCUUGACUAUGUGUUUAAGUGCCCUGUUUGCCUGGUUAUUUUAUAUAGAGCAUGAUGAAUGUGUUAACUUAGGCAUGAUGCUAGGGCAUGGCCCGUUGAGUGUUGUAUGCUAUUUGUGCAGUGUGGAUUGCUGUUAUGGUUGGUUGGUGUGAAUUGGGAGGUGGUUUUGGAUGUUGUUAUCAUGCCUGAUGAGCGGCGUCAUUGAUUGCAGGCAUAUUGUUGAGAUGCCUCAACAAUAAUCUAGACUUCGUGGCAGUAGGGCCGAGGAUGACAACCAGGGUUAGGACCCUCCACCUACCCCAUAGAAUUGUCAAUAGAUGUUUGCCGAAAUGGAAGCCAGAAUACACCCAAAAGAAGAAGAACUUCGACAGUUUAGGCAACAGGCCCCUCCUCAUGGCACUAGGUUGCAAGUUCAGCAAGUUGUGGCGCCGGUGCCAAUUCAGCCUGUUAUGGAGAAUAGGUGGGAACCCUUGUAUGAGAGGUUCAGGAAGUAGCAUCCUCCCACUUUGAGGGUGGACCAGACCCACUGCAGGUAGAGCAGUGGAUGAAUAUGAUUUCCUCCAUCCUGGAUUUUAUGAGGGUGGUAGGGAACGAGAGGGUAGCUUGUGCCAGCUAC